rnacentral:rRNA from 1 species
CGCUGGCGGCGUGCGUAAUACAUGCAAGUCGAGCGGACCGACGGGAGCUUGCUCCCUUAGGUCAGCGGCGGACGGGUGAGUAACACGUGGGUAACCUGCCUGUAAGACUGGGAUAACUCCGGGAAACCGGGGCUAAUACCGGAUGCUUGAUUGAACCGCAUGGUUCAAUCAUAAAAGGUGGCUUUUAGCUACCACUUGCAGAUGGACCCGCGGCGCAUUAGCUAGUUGGUGAGGUAACGGCUCACCAAGGCGACGAUGCGUAGCCGACCUGAGAGGGUGAUCGGCCACACUGGGACUGAGACACGGCCCAGACUCCUACGGGAGGCAGCAGUAGGGAAUCUUCCGCAAUGGACGAAAGUCUGACGGAGCAACGCCGCGUGAGUGAUGAAGGUUUUCGGAUCGUAAAACUCUGUUGUUAGGGAAGAACAAGUACCGUUCGAAUAGGGCGGUACCUUGACGGUACCUAACCAGAAAGCCACGGCUAACUACGUGCCAGCAGCCGCGGUAAUACGUAGGUGGCAAGCGUUGUCCGGAAUUAUUGGGCGUAAAGCGCGCGCAGGCGGUUUCUUAAGUCUGAUGUGAAAGCCCCCGGCUCAACCGGGGAGGGUCAUUGGAAACUGGGGAACUUGAGUGCAGAAGAGGAGAGUGGAAUUCCACGUGUAGCGGUGAAAUGCGUAGAGAUGUGGAGGAACACCAGUGGCGAAGGCGACUCUCUGGUCUGUAA